rnacentral:rRNA from 1 species
GACGAACCGUGCGAACGUUAUUCGGAAUCACUGGGCUUAAAGGGUGCGUAGGCGGGUUGCCAAGUCUGUGGUGAAAUCCUCUGGCUCAACCAGAGAACUGCCGUGGAUACUGGCGACCUCGAGGGGUGUAGGGGCUUGCGGAACUGUGCGUGGAGCGGUGAAAUGCGUUGAUAUGCACAGGAACUCCGGUGGCGAAAGCGGCGAGCUGGACACCUUCUGACGCUGAGGCACGAAAGCUAGGGGAGCGAACGGG